rnacentral:rRNA from 1 species
GUAGGGAAUAUUGGGCAAUGGAUGAAAGUCUGACCCAGCCAUGCCGCGUGCCGGAUGAAGGCGCUCUGCGUUGUAAACGGCUUUUAUUCGGGAAGAAGAGUAGGGAUGCGUCCUUAUGUGACGGUACCGAAUGAAUAAGCACCGGCUAACUCCGUGCCAGCAGCCGCGGUAAUACGGAGGGUGCGAGCGUUGUCCGGAUUUAUUGGGUUUAAAGGGUGCGUAGGUGGCUUAAUAAGUCAGUGGUGAAAUACGGUUGCUCAACAAUCGAGGUGCCAUUGAUACUGUUAAGCUUGAAAUAAUUGGAGGCUGCCGGAAUGGAUGGUGUAGCGGUGAAAUGCAUAGAUAUCAUCCAGAACACCGAUUGCGAAGGCAGGUGGCUACGAUUUAUUUGACACUGAUGCACGAAAGCAUGGGGAGCAAACAGGAUUAGAUACCCUUGUAGUCC